AUUGAACGCUGGCGGCAGGCCUAACACAUGCAAGUCGAACGAGUGGCGGACGGGUGAGUAAUGUCUGGGAAACUGCCUGAUGGAGGGGGAUAACUACUGGAAACGGUAGCUAAUACCGCAUACCAUCGGAUGUGCCCAGAUGGGAUUAGCUAGUAGGUGGGGUAAAGGCUCACCUAGGCGACGAUCCCUAGCUGGUCUGAGCGGAUGACCAGCAACACUGGAACGGAGACACGGUCCCGACUCCUACGGGAGGCAGCAUGGGGGAAUAUUGCACAAUGGGCGCAAGCCUGAUGCAGCCAUGCCGCGUGUAUUAAGAAAGCCUUCGGGGUGUAAAGUACUUUCAUCGGGGAGGCGUUACCCGCAGAAGAAGCACCGGCUAACGCCGUGCCAGCAGCCGCGGUAAUAC
rnacentral:rRNA from 1 species